rnacentral:rRNA from 1 species
AUUGAACGCUGGCGGCAGGCCUAACAAAUGCAAGUCGAGCGAGCGGCGGACGGGUGCGUAAUGUAUGGGGACUGCCCGAUAGAGGGGGAUAACUACUGGAAACGGUAGCUAAUACCGCAUACUAUCGGAUAACCCAUAUGGGAUUAGCUAGUAGGUGAGGUAAUGGCUCACCUAGGCGACGAUCCCUAGCUGGUCUGAGAGGAUGAUCAGCCACACUGGAACUGAGACACGGCCCAGACUCCUACGGAGGCAUCAGUGAGGAAUAUUGCACGAUGGGCGCAAGCCUGAUGCAGCCAUGCCGCGUGUAUGAAGAAGGGCCUAAGGUUGUAAAGUACUUUCAGUCGGGAGGCGUUACCGACAGAAGAAGCACCGGCUAACUCCGUGCCAGCAGCCGCGGUAAUAC